rnacentral:rRNA from 1 species
AUUGAACGCUGGCGGCAUGCUUUACACAUGCAAGUCGACCGGCAGCACAGAGAAUCUUGCUUCUUGGGUGGCGAGUGGCGUACGGGAGAGUUACAUAUCGGAACGUACCGCGCGGUGCAGGAUAACUAAUCGAAAGCUUAUCUAAUACAGCAUAACUUCUGAGGAAGAAAGCAGGAUACCAUCUGUACUUGCGCUGUUUGAGCGUCCGAUAUCUGUAUCGCGAGUUGGUGGGGUAAAGGCCUACCAAGGCGACGUUCAGUAGCGGGUCUGAGAGGAUGGGUCGCCACACUGGGAGUGUGACACGGCCCAGACGCCCAGGGACGGCGCCCUUAGGGAAUUUUGGGCAAGGGGCGGAAGACAUUGCAAGCCAGGCCGCGUGUCUGAAGAAGGACUUCGGUGUGUAAAGUGCUUUUGUCAGGAAAGAAAAGGGCUGGGUUAAUACCCGUGUCUGAUGACGGUACCUGAAGAAUAAGCACCGGCUAACUACGUG